AGACUCGGGGCCUCCCAGUGCUAGGCAGCUGGCAGUUUCUCCAGCACUGACUUGGCAUCUUACCCCCUUCACACAAAGCAGAUAUUGUUGAAGGAAGCAACCAUCCUGUGGUCUCUUGGCAUCACCCCCUGCCCGGCAUGCAUGUGGGAGAAGGAGCGUCUCACUGAGAAGAGAUUCUAUCUUAUUGUAAGUCUCUUUGGAGAGAGGACGCCCAGGAGAAUGCCUUUGCUCAGAGCCUGAAACCUGCUUGCUCAGGGGUGGAGCUUCCCGCUCAAUCGUUCUGCCACGCCCACUGCUGGAACCUGCUGCUUUGCUGUUUGGAGCCAUACACGUGGUCACCCUGAUACUGGACUCCGAGAUUAUUUGCAUUUCAGUAUCCAGCUUCCUCUGUGAUGGGAGAAGCCAGCAGGACACGUGGAAAUUGAACUGGUUGGUUCUGGUCACAUGAUCAAUUGCAGGUAUGAUCAGAGUGCCUCCAUGCCACCUUCAAGGUUGGUGCUGGUCCCAGUUUCUACACUGCAGCAGAGGAGAAGACCAAGGCUCCCAGGAAUGAAGGAAUUGUCCCACUCCGGGAUACAUGCCAGGUCCUGACAUCACUGUUUAUGCUCAGCAACAAGCAGCCCAUAAGCUCAUGCAUACAAGAGGUGGCCAAGUGUAUGCAGCAACAGGAGGAGGAAGCAAGAGCACAGGGACCACUGUCUACAUGAGGCAGGGGGUCGCUACCUGCCUCAGACACCUGGCAGAGGUUCUCAGUUGGGACCAGUGGACACCAUGACAACUUAGAGUGACUCCAGGACUGGUUGAAGGGACAUCAUCUGGGACAUUGACUCAGAAGGGGGUCUUCCCUAUGAAUCUGGCUUGCCCUUUCUUCUCCACAGGGGAGCGUUCUGAGGUCCUGAGGGGUGGGGUAACUUAAUGUCAGGAUCUCGGUCCAAUCCCUUAGAUUACUGUGCGUUCAGACCCAUUGUCCAUUUUAACACUCAAAAUCCUUUAACUGCAUGUAGUAUAACUAAAUACAGACUCAUGUCUGUGUUUUCAUGAUCAAAAGUAUAAACAACAUUUUUUUUUGAGACAGUGUCUUGCUACAUUGUGAGGCUGGCCUUGAACCUGUCAUCCUUCUGCCUCAGGCUUCUGAAGGUAUAGACAUGAACCACCUCACACAACAUUUAUUAUUGUUAUUAAUAUUAUUAUUUAAAUAAAGGUUGAAAUGUUCUCAGAAGCUGAAGAGAAAAGAAUACCUCCCUAGCACCUGUGUCACUUCUCCAGAAGGACUUCAUGACCUUCUGAAUACAAAGUUCCAGCACAUUAUUCUGACCCUGAUACACCCAGGGGUGUAAUAAACGCUGGCUUUGAGCUGGUGAUUCUCCUGCCUCAGCCUUGUGGAUAUUACAGGUUUACGCUCCUACACUUGGCUGAAGCAAUUUUAAUGUCUGAUCCAACUCUCAUGUCUGGGAAGCCUUCUUGUAUAUAUGUAUCUCAGUGUGUGUACAAACGAACACACAGAGGAAUGGUUGUUGUUGUUGUGAUUGCUUUUAUUACAUCCAGAGCUCAGGUGAAUGAGGAAGAGAUCAUUUCUGGAAGAGUCUAUUCAUUUUGUCAGAACAAGCAUUUGGAAGCCUUGUCUCAGAGGCCCAGGCAUUGCUCAUUCCCAGAGGUCAAUGUUCCCAGUCCUUGUCAUCUUGAGUACGUAAGUGUGUAAGAUACUGAACAGAAAUUUCCUGGCUUCCCAUACUAGAGGUUUAAUUGUCCAGUAGUUAUUGGAGCCAGGAGCGCAUUUUCCCAUGAAAGCUAUGUUGUGCAGCUAGCUAUAGUGGUUCCUUUCCACAGGUUCAGAACUCAGCAGACUGAGGUAGAAGGGACUGUGAGCUCAGGACCAACAGGGGCUACAUAGAGACUGUCUCACAUACAUGCAUACAUACAACAUGCAUAUAUGUUAGACACGCACACACAGUCACUACUGGGUAUGAGAAUGAGCUAGCCCAAGAUAGGAUCAGGUCCCAGUUGACUUUUCUGCUGCUGUGAUAAAACACAUUCUAAAAUGUUGUCUUGGGAGGAAAGGGUUUGUUUGGCUGAUAGGUUUCAGUCCAUCAGGAAGGAAGCCCAGGAGGAAACUGAAGAUAGGAACUAGGAAGCAGGAACCGAGCAGAGACCAUGAAAGAACGCUGCUCAUUGGCCUGCUUCCAGGCUCAUGGUCCCAGGCUCUGGAACGGCCCACAGACAUAGCCACAGGCCAGUGCAAUGGUGUCAGUUUCUUAACUGAGGUCCCCUCUUUCGGGGUGUGUCAAGUUGACAGCUGAAACUCGCUGUGACAGGCCAACAAGGUCCUGAUGAUAAAUGGAUGUGCGGGCUAGUUUUUUUUGUCAACUUGACACAAACUAGAGUCAGUUGAGAAGGCACAAACUCAAAUAAGGAACUGUCUUCAUCAGGUUGGCCUGUGGGCAUGUCUGUGGGGCAUUUUCUUGAUUAAUGAUUGAUGUGGGAGGGCCCAGCCCACUGUGGGUGAUGGAUGUUACCCCUGGGUUGUAUAGGGGAGCAAGUUAAGUGAGCCACGGAGAGUAAGCCAGUGAGCAGUGUCCCUGCAUAGUCCCUGCCUCUGCUCCAUCAUGGCUGGGAUUGGGACAUGUAAGCCAAAAUAAAAUCUUCCCACUCCAA
rnacentral:lncRNA from 1 species